AAACCCAUUAGAAGCACUCGGAGGGUUAUUUUCUCUUAGUCGACGAAGAUAUAUAUAUAUAGAGAGAGAGAGAGAGGGAGAGGGAGCGGAGGGUGCGAAAAUGGCCGACGAAGACUAUGAGAUGGACGGCGGGUUCGUUUCCCUAACUUUGAUGUUUUGUUUAUCUGCCUUUUUUUUUUAAAUUUAUUUUUUCGGAAUUUUAUACUUGCUGAAAUAAUAUUCAUUCGCUUAUUUCGUUUGCGUUUCAGAACAUUAAAGCUUUUGCCCUUCGGUAUUAUAAUAUGCUUGAUCCUAAGUUUAACCUAAUUUGUGGUCAUGAUUUUCAAAUGAAAAUGGCUGUUAGUUGUUAGUCUUGGUCAGGUUUUAUGUUCUUGCUUAGGGUUUAUUUAUUUGAUUAUGUAAUUGUAUUUUAAUUCGAUCGAAAAUUCUAAUUUCAUCUAGUAAUCAGUCAACUGCAUUUACUUUCACAUUCACACUCUACUCUGUCCUUUCAUAAGAAACAUUGCAAUGCAGAAUGCAGAAUGCAAUGCAUUAAAAAGCAAUUAAUCUUUUAUACCCCUAGGUUUUUUCUGAGGAAAUUUAAUAUUUUAUUGAUCUUUCAUGACUCUUUUUUUUAUUAUUUUAUUUUACUUCUAUGCACAUAUGGAUCUUUGACAUAGUUAUUUAUAGCUUUCCUGUUAAUAGUAUCUGAUAUUGACACACUCCUCAUGCGUGCAGAUAUGAUGAUGAGCCAAUUGAACCAGAGCUUGAUGUAAGAAGUUUCUAUUUGAAUUCCUUAUAUUUGUGUUAUUUAUAUUUCAAAAACGUUGUUGCUUGUUUUUAAUAAUAUUUGCUUGAAAUGUCUGUGGAGUAAUAUGCAGGAAGGUGCAGAGGAAGAACUGGAUGCGGAUGCAAAUAAAGAGGAUGACGUGCCUGAUCCUCUUCUAGCUGAUGGUGAAGAUAAACAGGAGCAGGAACAAGGAGAACGAGCUCGAAAGACAUCAAAGUAUAUGACAAAAUAUGAANNNNN
rnacentral:lncRNA from 1 species